CUUAACACAUGCAAGUCGAACGAAUAAGAGUCCUAGCUUGCUAGGAAGUUCUGUUAGUGGCAUACGGGUGAGUAACGCGUGGGAAUCUGUCUGAUAGUACGGGAUAACAUUUGGAAACGAAUGCUAAUACGGUAUACGCCCUCCGGGGGAAAGAUUUAUCGCUAUCAGGUGAGCCCGCGUUAGAUUAGGUAGUUGGUGGGGUAAGAGCCUACCAAGCCUACGAUCUAUAGCUGGUCUGAGAGGACGAUCAGCCACACUGGGACUGAGACACGGCCCAGACUCCUACGGGAGGCAGCAGUGGGGAAUAUUGGACAAUGGGCGAAAGCCUGAUCCAGCAAUGCCGCGUGAGUGAUGAAGGCCUUAGGGUUGUAAAGCUCUUUUAGCAGGGAAGAUAAUGACGGUACCUGCAGAAAAAGCCCCGGCUAACUUCGUGCCAGCAGCCGCGGUAAUACGAAGGGGGCUAGCGUUAUUCGGAAUUACUGGGCGUAAAGAGCGCGUAGGUGGCUCGUCAAGUUAGAAGUGAAAGCCCAAGGCUCAACCUUGGAAUUGCUUUUAAAACUAGCGAGCUAGAGUGUGAUAGAAGAUAGUGGAAUUCCUAGUGUAGAGGUGAAAUUCUUAGAUAUUAGGAGGAACACCGGUGGCGAAAGCGGCUAUCUAGGUCACAACUGACACUGAGGCGCGAAAGCGUGGGGAGCA
rnacentral:rRNA from 1 species